GCAGCAUCUCACGCAAAGUUCUUCCCCAUCACUCACUGGCUUCGCAGACAUCAAAGCUUCAGCAGGGUGUCACUCCUUUUUCACUAUCUGAAUCUGGUUCCUCUACUGAUAGCACUUUGAUGGGGAGGAAAAGCAAGAAGCAAAAAGGUGAAUGAUUAGCCAUGGCAUCAUUGGCAUGGUGGGUUGCAGGGAGCUGCAUCUACAGAUCUACUGCAUCGGUUGGCUCGUUGACUCUGAUGCGUUUGGUGGGAAAAGGUGCGUUUGGUGGGAAAAAGGUUCAAUUUUCUAAUGAAGCUUUGAUGCCAUGCAUCAAGAUUAUUCAAGAUGAUGAAACAUCGAGACUGCUAGAGUUGUAGCUAGUUAAUUCCUCUCUGUUUAGUCACUUUUCAUUCUUCUUCUUCCAUGGAAAACUCAACUCAGUAUCGUCACUUCUCCCA